CCUACGGGGGGCUGCAGUGGGGAAUAUUGCACAAUGGGCGAAAGCCUGAUGCAGCGACGCCGCGUGAGGGAUGACGGCCUUCGGGUUGUAAACCUCUUUCACCAGGGACGAAGCGGAAGUGACGGUACCUGGAGAAGAAGCACCGGCUAACUACGUGCCAGCAGCCGCGGUAAUACGUAGGGUGCGAGCGUUGUCCGGAAUUAUUGGGCGUAAAGAGCUUGUAGGCGGUUUGUCGCGUCUGCUGUGAAAGACCGGGGCUUAACUCCGGUUCUGCA
rnacentral:rRNA from 1 species